ACUGCGUCCCCGCGCUUCCUUCUUUUUUCGCAACGCCGUCGUUUUGCUACCAUAUCUAUAGUUAACACAGCUUCGAUUUUUUUUUCUCAGCGUUGCCAACGCGCUUCUGUCUGUUAGGGUUUGGGUUUUGGAAGAGCAUGGUGAGGGUUCGGGUGAGUAACACGAAAGAAUUUUCCGUAGUGGAGAAAGGUGGUUACAGUGAUUCACAGUUUGUUAGUCACUUCAAAGGUGUAGUUGUUGCAGUCACAAAGGAUGAGUUCUGUUGCUUAUCUUGCUAGUUAUCUGUGUCGUGCUAAGUUCCUUCCCGCUGCAUUGGUCACUACGAUCAUUCACAGCUUGGUUGAUUGGUGCUAUGCUUAUUGCAAAUUACGUGAUUUUGAUAUGAACCCACGAGCACAUCAAGUUUUUUAUUCAGGGUGCCAGGUGAGUCUUAUCACAUUUGACCUUUUGUUGGGAGGGCUGUAAAGGUGAUGCCUUUUCAUGUUAUAGCCACUAUCAUUUUCUUCCAAGUAUUCUUAACUUGCUCAUUAUGUCUUUUUUGGUGUAGCAGGCCAUUAUGUAUAUUCUGUGUUUUCGCUUUAGAUCUUCAAUGGACAUUCCUAGGCUUAAAUUGCAACUUAAUAUACCCAUGGAGCGCUUUAGAUCUUCAAUGGACAUUCCUA